GAUGAACGCUGACAGAAUGCUUAACACAUGCAAGUCUUUGGCGAAGCUGUGCUCGCACAGCCUAGCUACGGCGGACGGGUGAGUAACGCGUAAGGAACUUGCCCUGCAGUCAGGGAUAACAGACGGAAACGACUGAUAAGACCUGGUAAAGUCAGGCGGACUCAUGUCCAGCCUGAUGAAAAGAGAUGCUGCAGGAGAGCCUUGCGUCCUAUUAGCUUGUUGGUGGGGUAACGGCCCACCAAGGCGAUGAUAGGUAGCCGGCCUGAGAGGGUGGACGGCCACAAGGGGACUGAGAUACGGCCCUUACUCCUACGGGAGGCAGCAGUGGGGAAUAUUGGACAAUGGGGGCAACCCUGAUCCAGCAAUUCUGUGUGCACGAUGAAGGUUUUCGGAUUGUAAAGUGCUUUCAGCAGGGAAGAAAAAAAUGACGGUACCUGCAGAAGAAGCGACGGCUAAAUACGUG
rnacentral:rRNA from 1 species